rnacentral:snRNA from 1 species
AUGUUUGCAUAACAGUGCUUGCCAGGGUGAGGCUCAUCCUUUGCACUCUGGGUGUGCUGACCCCUGUGAUUUCCCCAAAUGCGGGAAACUCAACUGCAUAAUUUGUGGUAUAGUGGGAUUUUGGAGACAAGUCAGCAUCUCAG